UGGGGUAGCAGGUAGGGCGGUGGCCUAGUGGUUAGAGUGUAGGGACGGCAGGUAGCCUAGUGGUUAGAGUGUAGGGACGGCAGGUAGCCUAGUGGUUAGAGUGUAGGGACGGCGGGUAGCCUAGUGGUUAGAGUGUAGGGACGGCAGGUAGCCUAGUGGUUAGAGUGUAGGGGCGGCAGGUAGCCUAGUGGUUAGAGUGUAGGGACGGCAGGUAGCCUAGUGGUUAGAGUGUAGGGACGGCAGGUAGACUAGUGGUUAGAGUGUAGGGACAGCAGGUGGCAUAGUUGUUAGAGUGUAGGGACGGCAGGUAGCCUAGUGGUUAGAGUGUAGGGACGGCAGGUAGCCUAGUGGUUAGAGUGUAGGGACGGCAGGUAGCCUAGUGGUUAGAGUGUAGGGACGGCAGGU
ensembl:lncRNA